UUCCUUUAUAGAAAAUGGUAAAAAGAAGAAAUCCAAUAACGGCGGAGAAAAUUUGCCAAAUGGAUCUGCUGGAGAAGAACCUGUUAAAAAGAAGAAAAAACAUAAGCAACAGAAAGAAGAAACAACUCCUACACCAAAGACUGGGCAAAACAAUGCUUUGAAAGAAAAUGGGAAAAAUAAGAAACAUAAUAUCAGUGGAGGAAUUGUGA
rnacentral:lncRNA from 1 species